CAACUAGGAAAGCUGCCAUUACCGUCAAUAUUACUAGCCAACGUACAAUCAUUGGACAAUAAACUAGACGAGGUACGAUCACGAAUAUCCUACCAAAGGGACAUCAAAAACUGUAAUAUCCUAUGCUUCAUGGAAUCGUGGCUGAAUGACAACAUGGAUAUUGGUUAUAGCCUGAAGUCAUAGCGGACACCUACGAAGAAGGACUGUGUGAUGAUGGCAUCUCAGAGAGCGAGCUGAUCAAGGGGUCGAAUAUGUAGAUAUUGCCAGAUGUUCACUGUCUGAGGAACAGGCCGCGGAAGCUUUAUUGCUGGCGAAAGUGUCCACAGCCAGA